AUAGCCAUGCAUGUCUAAGUAUAAGCAAUUAUACAGCGAAACUGCGAAUGGCUCAUUAAAUCAGUUAUCGUUUAUUUGAUAGUACCUUACUACAUGGAUAACCGUGGUAAUUCUAGAGCUAAUACAUGCUGAAAACCCCGACUUCGGAAGGGGUGUAUUUAUUAGAUUAAAAGCCAAUGCCCUUCGGGGCUCACUGGUGAUUCAUGAUAACUUCUCGAAUCGCACGGCCUUGCGCCGGCGAUGGUUCAUUCAAAUUUCUGCCCUAUCAACUUUCGACGGCUGGGUCUUGGCCAGCCGUGGUGACAACGGGUAACGGAGGGUUAGGGCUCGACCCCGGAGAAAACGCCUGAGAAACGGCGUUUACAUCCAAGGAAGGCAGCAGGCGCGCAAAUUACCCAAUGCCGACACGGCGAGGUAGUGACGAGAAAUACUGAUACAGGGCUCUUUUGGGUCUUGUAAUUGGAAUGAGUACAAUUUAAAUCUCUUAACGAGGAACAAUUGGAGGGCAAGUCUGGUGCCAGCAGCCGCGGUAAUUCCAGCUCCAAUAGCGUAUAUUAAAGUUGUUGCAGUUAAAAA
rnacentral:rRNA from 1 species